GUGCUAGCUUUGGCAGCACAUACACUAAAAUUGGAAUAAUACUGAGAAGAUUAGCAUGGCCCCUGCCCAAAGAUGAUAGGCAAUCCGUGAAGCGUUUCAUAUUUUU
ensembl:snRNA U6 U6 spliceosomal RNA